rnacentral:rRNA from 1 species
CCUGGUGGCUAGAGCGGAGUGGUCCCACCCGUUCCCAUUCCGAACACGGCAGUGAAACGCUCCAGCGCCCACGAUACUGGGGUCACCAAGCCCCGGGAAAAUAGGCCGGUGCCAGGG